UACGAAGGGGGCUAGCGUUGUUCGGAAUCACUGGGCGUAAAGCGCACGUAGGCGGCUUGUUAAGUCGGGGGUGAAAUCCUGAGGCUCAACCUCAGAACUGCCUUCGAUACUGGCGAUCUUGAGUUCGGAAGAGGUUGGUGGAACAGCUAGUGUAGAGGUGAAAUUCGUAGAUAUUAGCUAGAACACCAGUGGCGAAGGCGGCCAACUGGUCCGACACUGACGCUGAGGUGCGAAAGCGUGGGGAGCAAACAGG
rnacentral:rRNA from 1 species